UGAACUGUAUUGCCUGGACAACGACAAAUUCCUCCUCAUUCCGAAGAUCAGGAGACUUCCCUUGCAAAGCGCAGUGGACACCAUCCGCAGGUAUCUUGACGCUAUCCCGGACGUAACGAGUCGCCUGCGCUGCGUAUGUAGGAUCUACAAGUGUCUCAUGGCGAAAGGCCUGUUUGAGCGCUGGGUCCUUUAUCGCUUCGGCGAUACUGAAGGCGCAACCAAAGACACUUUCGUGAUUCGCUAUUUCAGAGCGAUCAAAAUGAAGCACUGCGACACUAAAUGGGUGCAUUUAACCGAAGAAAGUGUUGAGAUUUGCGCAUUGGUUCCGCAAAGCAACACGCCGAGUGAGGGCCAUGCAGUUUGCUGCUACUUCUUCUGGAAGCCAUUGGCGUGCGUGGCAGUCUACAGGCCAGCUGAGGGAUAUUCUGAUGCACAACAUAAAGUUCUCAGCUAUGUUCUCGGUGGUGAUCCUGAACGCUUCGUGCAUGGAGUUUACAACGACCUGGAUUCGGCGCACAUGGUGGCCACCCGCCUGGCCUCUGCCUAGCCCUUGCUACGGGUAUGUCGCAGAAGAUUGGUGCGGCUUCAUUGUGCUCGCAAGCAGCUUAAGCGACAACCGAACCCGACAUGUUGCGUGCUUGAAGACGAUAUCGCGUGACCAACGAUAAGAAACUGGACUAUGGUGAAAACAGCACUACGACGCAGAAGAAAACGUUGUCAUCAGCCUCAGUGCGAUACCAUAUGGUACUGGAGAGGCAGCGCUGUGAAGGAAGUGGCUAGAAAUGACUUCGAGAUAAUGCCGAAGUGGCAAGAACAAUUUGCAAUGCUCCUUCAGUUUCACACGUGGAAGAUAAGCUACGGCAGACUGUCGCCUCUAGAAAUGCUUGCGAGCUGUGCUUCUUUGUCUCGGACUGUGCUGCAUGAACGUGGAUGUGGCCUGGAAUACGUGACUGAAAUUAGCUAUGUACCAUCAGUAUUCUGACUUUUUAAGCCGCCCUUAAGAGUGCUCGCGUAGUUAAACCUUCAGCUAUCAACGUUAUUCUUUCGACAACCUGACAUCGUUUCAUUAAUGAGUCGAAUAAAAGAAAUAUUUUCUAU
rnacentral:lncRNA from 1 species